rnacentral:rRNA from 1 species
AGUUGGCCCAUGCCUGCCCUAAAGGCACCAGAUCCCAGCUCAUUUGGGAUGCUAAGCAGGGUUGGCCCUGGCUAGUACUUGGAUGGGAGACCACCAAUGAAUCCAAGGAUCUCAAAGC